rnacentral:sRNA from 1 species
CACCGCCUGGGGAGUACGACCGCAAGGUUAAAACUCAAAUGAAUUGACGGGGACCCGCACAAGUAGUGGAGCAUGUGGUUUAAUUCAAAGAUACGCGCAGAACCUUACCAACACUUGACAUGUUCGUCGCGACUUUAAGAGAUUAAAGUUUUCGGUUCGGCCGGACGAAACACAGGUGCUGCAUGGCUGUCGUCAGCUCGUGUCGUGAGAUGUUGGGUUAAGUCCCGCAACGAGCGCAACCCUCACUUUUAGUUGCCAUCAUUAAGUUGGGCACUCUGAAAGAACUGCCAGUGAUAAGCUGGAGGAAGGUGGGGAUGACGUCAAGUCCUCAUGGCCCUUACGUGUUGGGCUACACACGUGCUACAAUGGUAUCUACAACAGGAAGCAAGACGGCGACGUUAAGCAAAUCCUUAAAAGAUACCUCAGUUCGGAUUGCACUCUGCAACUCGAGUGCAUGAAGCUGGAAUUACUAGUAAUCGUGGAUCAGCGUGCCACGGUGAAUGCGUUCCCGGGUCUUGUACACACCGCCCGUCACACCAUGGGAGUUGGUUCUACCUUAAGGCAAGGUUUAAAACCCUUGACCACGGUAUAGUCAGCGACUGGGGUGAAGUCGUAACAAGGUAGCCGUAGGGGAACCUGCGGCUGGAUUACCUCCUUUCUAAGGAUGAAUGAAAAUUUUUUUUUCAUUCUAAAUAAUUUACAGGCUAAUGUUGACCGUCCUCGUUUCUCUUCUUAAAAGUGAGUGUUUCUCUUGCAUGGGGGCCGGUAGCUCAGUUGGUUAGAGCACACCCUUGAUAAGGGUGGGGUCGAAAGUUCGAGUCUUUCUCGGCCCACCAAUUAAAGAUCACGGGGGAUUAGCUCAGCUGGGAGAGCGCCUGAUUUGCAUUCAGGAGGUCAGCGGUUCGAUCCCGCUAUCCUCCACCAAGAAACACUUAGUUAUUUUAUUUUGUGAAAAAAUUAUUUAUAUUAUCAAUAUCUAUAUCCGAUUGUUCGAACAAUUGAACAAUCAACAAAUAUUCGAAUAGAUGAAUAUUUUAAAAAAUUUAAUUCAACACAGAAUUUUUUUCUG